GGAUAUGCGAACAACGACGGUGAUGCGAUUGAAGGGGCAAAGGUUUUGAGUGUGGAUUAAAGUUCAAUCAGAAUGGAGGUUCCGCUGUUAGGAGGUAGAAAGAGACGAUCCGAGCACUGCAUCUGCCUAGCUCAGCGACUGAUACUACUCGUCUUAUUACAGGAAACUUGGUAUGGUGACGUACAGCUGGUUCUUAUUUGAGAGUCUACGGUGCUAAAAAGAAUCGAUCGUGAAGUAGGGAAUGAUCAUGAGUUACCAUUGUGGAGAUUCACGAUUUUUAACAUGUUAUCAAGGAAUCCUCAAAUGUCGAAUAAAGAAGUUGUGAGCCUCGAAAGUGUAGAACAAAGAGUGUACUUUGUUCGAGGACUCCAGAUAAGGAGUCGAGCCUCGAUUAAGGGGAGGUUAUUCAAGGACUCUGUAGGCUUGAGAUCCGUGAUUCUUAACAUGGUAUUAAAGUCGUCAUGUCAAAAUGGAAAAUACCUCAACUCAAAAUUAUUGGUAUUUCGAUCACAUGCUCUACCAGCUGAGCUAAGACGGCUUGGUGAAGGAACAUCAAUAUGACCAUCAGUGUUGCAGAGAAUGACAGGAUAAAUGGGAAAAAUAUUUAUGUUACAUGAUGCUAGCUUUACACUCCAUGUUCUACUUAUCUUGCUUUGCUUUCUUCACCCACUUUUAUCUGAACCAGAGAAGGGAAAGAUCAUUCAACGAGCAGCCAUUGAUUUAUCCAAUGGUAUUUACUGUCAUUGUGAUAACUUGGGUGCCAAAUUGCUGAUUUGACACUUCACUGCAAAUGAUUAACCACAGAGGCCGAUUCGUACUCUGUAUGUUAUUUUCCAAGCUGACUUGCUUUUCUUUUUGUAGCAACACAGACAAAACUUAAAGGUACAUACAUACAUGGAGUGCUGAACCAAAUCAAGUGCUUUCUGUCCUGUAACUGUUGGGAAAAGGAUGGAUUCGUUGGGUUCCAUUGCUCGUGGAGUAAUUGGGCACACCCCUUCCUUUCAUUAUCAUCACCAAAACGAAGAUGGAGAGAUUUCCACAGAUUCUGAGAACUGUUUCUAGAUCGAGGUUGUGUUGGAUACUAUGACCACAGAGCAGUGGAAGCCGGAUACUAUGACACGGAGUAGUGGAAGCUCAAGGAUCAACAAGCGCUAGGGUUGAUCUGUUUGACCCUAUCCAGAAACGUGACGUUCGACAUCAUUGAGAAGAAGACAAUGUAUAUUUGAUGUGAAGAUUAUUCAAUCUACAAAUGUCUGAAGGUGGAUCUGUUGCGAAUCAUAUAUAUGAAUUUAAAGCAUUGAUUUUGUGUUCAUCUAGAUCGAGUGUGUGCGUUGUUGUGCAAUCCUACCAUAUAUGCGGAGAAGAUGUUGACUUCUUCGUUGAACUCAAU